AGCUCCGCGCUCCCGCUUUCCUGAUAGCGUAACCGCCGCGCGCUCCCUCUGUCCUGCCAGAGCGCGCACGCACGGCGCAGUGACGACACAGAAGGACCGUCGGCAGCGGCGCACAGGCACGUGGGACAAAAUAAAGGGUGUAGAGCUGGUUGAACACAUCAGGCCCAGCCGCAUCAGAGGAGCGGGAAGGCUGACGUUUCGGGCCCUUCUUCAGAAAUGAUUUCGUCAGCCUUCCCGCUCCUCUGAUGCUGCUGGGCCUGCUGUGUUCAUCCAGCUCUACACCGUGUUAUCUCAGAUUCUCCAGCAUCUGCAGUUCCUACUAUCUCUGGGAUAAAAUAAAACUGAUUUCUCAUCAGGCCGUUCAGAAAGGUCCUCUGGAAUGGGUGGGACAUUAACCCGGAUCUCCUGGCUCAAAGCUAAAGAACCCCUCAGUCAAACCAAAAAAAUUUGGAACAUAUCUAGAAUGUUAAAACAAACUACACUCUGCAAAGGAAAAGGCAUUUAGAUGCAACAUUGACAAUGUUGUACCUGUAAAGAGCAGGUAGCUUGGAUGGAGUCAUACAAUCUAGAGAACUUUCACGGCAAGAUCUCAUGACCCAGUUUGCGACAAGAAAAUUUGACCUGGAUGAAGGCAACAUCCCCCAUUGCUCUCAUUCUUUCUUUGCAAUUCUCCUCUACAAAUUGUAUGAACUUAAAACCCACCGAAAGUCAUUUUUAUCACUUGGGAAGAGGUCUUGAGAGAAUUUCCUUGAAACUUAUUCCACGUGAAACAAAGAAAAUUCAGCCAAUUACAACCAUUCUAGAAACGCAACUACUUGGGUGGAGGGCGGGGUAGUGUGUGUGAGAGAGAGACAAUAAGUAAUGGAUAUAUUAUUUAAGAGUUAGUUGGGUCUGAAUUGGCUGUUUAGAGGUAGUAAUUAGUGGGGUGAAAGUUUAUAAAGUAUGGCUAACUGAAAUAAAGCUCUCACAUGAAAAUGUGAA